CAUUUGAGGCAGCCCACAGGGAGGGGUGUCGCUGAGGAAACAGAAUCCAGGCCCCCCAGGCCUCUGACGGAAGGGGACCGGAGCAUGCUGGGAAAACACAUUCCACCUGAGGAGCACAAAAGACCCCAGGGGUGGAGGAAGCUGGCCUGAGGCCAACCGGAGGUCCGUGUGUGGUACUGGGAUUGUGGCAUGAAAACCUACAUAUGUCAGACCGUCUUCUACAGUGUUUGCAGCAAAUUCUGUCCCCCGCCCAGCAAUGCGUAAGAGCUCCCUUGCUCCAUACCCUUGCCAACACGUGCUAUCAUCGGUCGUUCUGACUGGUCACCAUUCUAACAGCGAAUUCCAUGAAGUCAAAGACGGAUUUUGUCUAAGUCAUCACUGCUCCACUCUGCCUAGGACAUGACCUUCAGGAGGUGGUUGUGGAAUGAAUAAAUAAAGAGGCAGGUGCCCUCCAGAAUCCUGCUCAGCUCUGGCCUCCUACGGUUCUUCAUCCCUGGAGCUUUGGGGCAGGCCAGCCAAUUUCUGUGCGAGACUCUGGGUCUGCAGCUAUGAACGAAUGUUUUCCCUGCCUUUAUGGAACCUAACGGGUUAUUGGUGAAUACAAUCAUUAAGGCAAGUGAAGAGAAGGGCACAGGUGUAAUUUAAGGGAAAUGGAGGUUACUGUGUGGGCAUGUAAAGGGGUGGGGAGGGAUUUCAGUUGGAAGUUUCAAGCUUCUCUAAAGAAGUGACAUGUAAGCAAAGAUCUGAGGGGACAUGGUUUUGUUUUGUUUUGUUUUGUUUUGUUAUGUUUUGUUUUUUCAGGCUAGGGGAAGAAUAUGGCCGACUCCAGGAUGGCCCCCAUGAUCCCUGCCUCCUGGUGUCUGUGCCCUUGAGGGUGGGCAGGACCAGUGACUUCCUCCAUAACUUAAGGCAAAAGCAAUGCGAUGUCCUUUCCAUUAUUAUAUUAUGUAAGACUGUAACUGAUAUCUUGGAAGCCGACCCUUUCUUUUGCUGUCUUAGCUUACGUGCGCAGAUGAGAGGGCCGUGCUGGAGAGUUCCAUGUGAUGGGGAAUUGAAAGCAGCCUCCAGCCAAUAGCCAGCCAGGAACUGAGGCUCUCAGUCCAACAGCCCAUGAGGAGCUGAAUCCUGUAAACAGCCCAGUGGGCUUGGAACUGUGCUCUUCCCUCGUUGAGCUUUCAGAUGAGACCUCAGCCCUGAGUGAGAAGUUGGUUGUAGCUUCGUGGGACACCCAAAGCAGAGGACCCAGCUGAGCCAGGCUCAGACCCUUGACCCACAGAGACUGGGAGAUAAUAAAUGUAUUUUGACCCUAAGCCACUAAGUUCAUGAUUAAUUUGUUAUACGGCAUAGCGCCCUGAUAUGAAGAGGGAACAGGAAUUUAUUCCAGGCAGACAGAACCAUAUAUGCAAAAGGGGGUAAAAUAAAGACAGUCCGAGCGCUGGAGAAGGACAAGCAUGUUGGUGUGACCACAGUGAACAUGAGAACAAGA